AGCAGAUCUGCCUCCAGGUCAGGAAGAAAGCACCAGGAGAGGUGUACAGCCCUGUAACACCUGCAGACAUUUUCAUCUGCACAGGAGAAAUGUUUCUUCAGAACUGCAUCGAGAGGGAUACAGUAAAAACACUUCUAACCCGAUACAGAUGAAAGGCAUCAAAAUCCUCGGGACAGAAAACAAGGGCGAAAAGAAAUCCGAACCUUCAAUAGGAACAUUUGGAGUUAAGCUUACUUCCUACAACAGUUU
rnacentral:lncRNA from 1 species